CUAGUAAGAACGAGUGUCUAGUAAUAUCAGCAGAUUAGGAAUGGCCAUUUCCAUUCCUUAUGCAAAUUGCAAAGAAAGUCCAUUUCAAAUUGUACGGACUUGGACAAACAAAACGAAUAAUAAUUAAUUAGAAGUACAUAUUUUAUUAAUCAGUAAAGAAGAUUUUUUCCCCUUAAUAAUACAACAUUAGGAUCUACACACAAUCUACUACGAAACCAUCCCCCUCUCCCACCCCACCCCACCCCACCCCCGAAACCCAAAAAAAUUCCCAAAAAAUACUUGAAUACAAAACAACAAAUUACAGAAGCAGUCUCCCCGGCCGACAAAAUAAUAAUAAAAGGAAAAGUGUUUCUAUAGCUCUGUUUGUUUUCUGGGAAAUUAACAAACAGGACCAAAUUAGAAAAAAUCAAUAGGAAUAAAUACCAAAUGAAGCUUCUUGUUAUUUAUCAGGGGUAAUUGCUGUCGGACGAAAGCAACCAGCGAUCAUCGAAUCCACCGAUUUCAGCAUUUUCUUAAAAAUCAUUACUUUAACCUGUCCUCUUCUUGGCGGUAGCCUUGUGACCUGACUGUUCAUCCGGUUCGCCGGCGGGAUAUCCAUUCCGAUAAACCGGUUAGUGUGGGGGUGGUUUAGUAAUUUCGAAAGAAAAAUUGGGAAUUUUUGUAGAGUGAGAAUUGAAGAAAGAGUGAAGUAAAGUGGAAACAGAGUGGUGAAUUUAACGUUUAAGGAAGAAGGAAGAAAUGAUAGUGAAGGGAUGAAGGGCGGGAGAUUAGCCCCCGCGGGAGGGGNNN
rnacentral:lncRNA from 1 species